GGAUAAAUAUAUAUUGACAAUUUUUUUUUUUCACUAAACAUUCAUUAAUACCUGCUUCGCAUUUAUACCUAUCUAUAUCUAUAUUUAUACCUAUACAUUAAAGAAAUGCCACAUGACUGUGUUUCCUUUACUUUUGGACUUCACAUUACGAAACCAACCCUUCGUCUUCUCUCCAACUCUCCAACUAUAAUGUCUAAUUAAUGGUCUACCCAUCUUAACCCAACCAUUCGUCUUCCCUAUGUAUAAUGUCUAAUUAAUGGUCCACCCAUCUUAACCCAACCAUUCUCCUUUCCUCUGUAUAUAACAUCUAAUUAAUGGUCCACCCAUCUUAACCCAACUCUUCGCCUUCCCUCCGCACAUAACAUCUAAUUAAUAGUCCACCUAGCUUAACCCUAAUUUAAAUUGUAAAUCAUAGAAACCAACGCAAAAUCUCCCUUCUCUCCUCUGCUUUCUCUUCCUCCUCCAUGGACUCUGAGGCUAAGAUCGAGCACGUGAUGUGGAUGGACGAUGAGUUUGCACGCUGCCGAACAAAUCGAGUCUUUCUCCAAAUUUCAGGAGUUCUUUUUAAAGUUUUACAUAUUCUUUAUGUUGUAGUGUUGAAAUUUCUUAAAUAGCUUUAUUCAGUUUUUUCAAGUUUUUUUUUAUUUGCAUGGUAUUCAAACUGAUGUGUUUAUUAUGUUGAAAUUUUAUUACUUUUUAUUUUUCUAUUCUUUGUUUUUUUACAUUUUUUUUUCAAAAGUAAAAUUUUGUAUUAUAACCGACUGUCCCUAGAGCAAGUGGUAAAGGGCUUAGUGGCUGGUACCCGAGACCCAAGUUCGAAUUCUAGUUGAUUCACAUUUCUAGUUAAGUUUAUUUCUAAAUGAAAUAAACGAAGCGGGUAGCGUGCUACCUAUCUCUCAAAAAAAAAAUUUAUAUUAUAUUUGCUGUAUUAGGUUGUAUUAGGUUGUAUA
rnacentral:lncRNA from 1 species